rnacentral:rRNA from 1 species
GACGAACCGUGCGAACGUUAUUCGGAAUCACUGGGCUUAAAGCGCGUGUAGGCGGGCCGCCACGUCGGCUGUUGAAAUCCCCCGGCUCAACCGGGGAACGGGCACCGAUACGAGCGGCCUGGAGGGGGGUAGGGGGGUCUGGAACUUCCGGUGGAGCGGUGAAAUGCGUUGAUAUUGGAAGGAACGCCGGAGGCGAAAGCGGCGCACUGGAUCUCUACUGACGCUGAGGCGCGAAAGCCAGGGGAGCAAACGGG